GUGGGGAAUAUUGGACAAUGGGGGGAACCCUGAUCCAGCCAUGCCGCGUGUGUGAAGAAGGCCUUUUGGUUGUAAAGCACUUUAAGCGAGGAGGAGGCUACCGAGAUUAAUACUCUUGGAUAGUGGACGUUACUCGCAGAAUAAGCACCGGCUAACUCUGUGCCAGCAGCCGCGGUAAUACAGAGGGUGCAAGCGUUAAUCGGAUUUACUGGGCGUAAAGCGCGCGUAGGUGGCCAAUUAAGUCAAAUGUGAAAUCCCCGAGCUUAACUUGGGAAUUGCAUUGGAUACUGGGUGGCUAGGGUAUGGGAGAGGAUGGUAGAAUUCCAGGUGUAGCGGUGAAAUGCGUAGAGAUCUGGAGGAAUACCGAUGGCGAAGGCAGCCAUCUGGCCUAAUACUGACACUGAGGUGCGAAAGCAUGGGGAGCAAACAGGAUUAGAAACCCGGGUAGUCC
rnacentral:rRNA from 1 species